UACGAAGGGUGCAAACGUUGCUCGGAAUUAUUGGGCGUAAAGCGCACGUAGGCGGCUUUUCAAGUCGGAUGUGAAAUCCCUCGGUUUAACCAAGGAAGUGCAUCCGAAACUGGAAGGCUUGAGUACUUAAGAGGAUCGCGGAAUUCCCGGUGUAGAGGUGAAAUUCGUAGAUAUCGGGAGGAACACCAGUGGCGAAGGCGGCGAUCUGGGAAGAUACUGACGCUGAGGUGCGAAAGCGUGGGGAGCAAACAGG
rnacentral:rRNA from 1 species